rnacentral:rRNA from 1 species
CCCUUAGAUGUUCUGGGCCGCACGCGCGCUACACUGAUGCAUUCAACGAGUCUAAAACCUGCUCUGAUAGGGGUGGGUAAUCUUUUGAAUGUGCAUCGUGAUUGGGAUAGAUGAUUGCAAUUUUUCAUCUUCAACGAGGAAUGCCUAGUAAACGCAAGUCAUCAGCUUGCAUUGAUUACGUCCCUGCCCUUUGUACACACCGCCCGUCGCUCCUACCGAUCGAAGAGUUAGGUGAAUUGUUUUGAUCGAUAAGAUUUGACUAUGGUCAACUCUCGUUGGGAAAUUCUGUGAAUCUGACUGUUUAGAGGAAGGAAAAGUCGUAACA